rnacentral:rRNA from 1 species
GGCUCAGAACGAACGCUGGCGGCGUGCCUAAUACAUGCAAGUCGAACGAGAAAAUCCGGCUGUAGCAAUACAGUUGGGUGAGUAAAGUGGCGACCGGGUGAGUAACACGUGACUAACCUACCCUAGAGUGGGGGAUAACUCCGGGAAACCGGGGCUAAUACCGCAUAACAUCGCGAGGGGCAGAUCCUUGCGAUCAAAGAAGCAAUUCGCUGAAGGAGGGGGUCGCGGCUGAUUAGCUAGUUGGUGAGGUAACGGCUCACCAGGGCAAUGAUCAGUAUCCGGCCUGAGAGGGCGCACGGACACACUGGUACUGAAACACGUGAAAGACUCCUACGGGAGUCAGCAGUGG